GGCCUGAUGGUCUAGUAGUAUGAUUCGCCCUUAGGGUUCCUAGAGAAUGCAUUGGGCGAGGUCCUGGGUUCAAUUCCCAGUUAGGCCC